GGGGAAUAUUGGACAAUGGGCGAAAGCCUGAUCCAGCAAUGCCGCGUGAGUGAUGAAGGCCUUAGGGUUGUAAAGCUCUUUUACCAGGGAUGAUAAUGACAGUACCUGGAGAAUAAGCUCCGGCUAACUCCGUGCCAGCAGCCGCGGUAAUACGGAGGGAGCUAGCGUUGUUCGGAAUUACUGGGCGUAAAGCGUGCGUAGGCGGUGACUCAAGUCAGAGGUGAAAGCCUGGAGCUCAACUCCAGAACUGCCUUUGAAACUAGGUCGCUAGAAUCUGGGAGAGGUGAGUGGAAUUCCGAGUGUAGAGGUGAAAUUCGUAGAUAUUCGGAAGAACACCAGUGGCGAAGGCGGCUCACUGGACCAGAAUUGACGCUGAGGCACGAAAGCGUGGGGAGCAAAC
rnacentral:rRNA from 1 species